CCUACGGGAGGCUGCAGUGGGGGAUAUUGCACAAUGGAGGAAACUCUGAUGCAGCGACGCCGCGUGAAGGAAGAAGGCUUUCGGGUUGUAAACUUCUUUUGACAGGGAAGAGUAGAAGACGGUACCUGUCGAAUAAGCCACGGCUAACUACGUGCCAGCAGCCGCGGUAAUACGUAGGUGGCAAGCGUUGUCCGGAUUUACUGGGUGUAAAGGGCGUGUAGCCGGGUUGACAAGUCAGAGGUGAAAUCCUGCGGCUUAACCGCAGAACUGCAUUUGAAACUGUUGAUCUUGAGGACUGGAGAGGCAGACGGAAUUCCUAGUGUAGCGGUGAAAGGCGUAGAUAUUAGGAGGAACACCAGUGGGGAAGGCGGUCUGCUGGACAGCAACUGACGGUGAGGCGCGAAAGCGUGGGGAGCAAACAGGAUUAGAUACCCGGGUAGUC
rnacentral:rRNA from 1 species